GGAAGACUCUAUCAGUUAGUAUUUGUUCUCGGAAGGGCUAUGAUUAAUAUUGAAUAAUCAGACAUAGUACGCUAAGGUUGUAUGUCUAAAGGGAAACAGCCCAGAACAAGUGUUAAUAAGGUUCCAAAAUUAUUCUUAAGUGAAAUAAAGGUAGUCUAUGUCUUAAACGUCCAGGAAAUGGGCUUAGAAGCGGCCAUUUUUUAAAGACCUCGUAAUAGAGCACUGGUUAUCCUAAUUUUUUUAGGGUAAAUUUAGAAGUUAUAAAAACUUCUUAAAAUUUACAUGGAUGUAGGCACCGACGAUACAACGGAUCUAAAUAAUAUACCGAAACCUUGUCCAUAUAUAUCUGUAUAUAUUUAGAUAUAUAUCGUAUAAUGGGGUAGCGGAACAUUGGGUAUACCAUACCUUUUUUAUAAGAAAAAAAAAUUAGGUAUCCCAAGUGAUAAUGCUGACAUGAGUAACGAUAAAGGGAGAUUAUUAUCCGUAGCCAAUAGGUAUUAGGUAAUAAUCAUAAAUUCCCUCGCCUAAAGCUUAUGGUAUUUAGUUAAAGUAACGGCCUCUAAGUUUAUAACUAGUAAUUAAAAUAUUUAAAGUGUUUUACUUAACCUAAAGGAUUAAACGAUGAGCAAAUCUUAUAAAAAUAUAUAUAAAUAACAUUUUUAGUGUAAAAGUGUUCUGGAAAAUUGUAUUUUUCUCUUUAUCCCUAGUAAACAAACUAAAAAGAUGAUACUAGAUUAAAGGAGUAGUAACCGUACCUAGAAACUACCACGAGUAAGCAAGUAGAG
rnacentral:rRNA from 1 species